rnacentral:rRNA from 1 species
CUAGGAAUAUUGGACAAUGGGCGAAAGCCUGAUCCAGCAACACCGCGUGGAGGACGAAGGCCUUCGGGUCGUAAACUCCUUUUUGGGGGGAUGAGAAAGGACAGUACCCCCAGAAUAAGGCCCGGCUAACUACGUGCCAGCAGCCGCGGUAAUACGUAGGGGCCAAGCGUUAUCCGGAUUUACUGGGCGUAAAGCGCAUGUAGGCGGUCUGCUAAGUCGGACGUGAAAGCCCCUGGCUCAACUAGGGGAGGCUGUUCGAAACUAGUAGACUAGAGGGUGGUAGAGGAGAGCGGAAUUCCAGGUGUAGCGGUGAAAUGCGUAGAUAUCUGGAGGAACACCAGUGGCGAAAGCGGCUCUCUGGCCCACUCCUGACGCUGAGAUGCGAAAGCCAGGGGAGAGAAC